rnacentral:rRNA from 1 species
GUGCCAGCAGCCGCGGUAAUACCGGCGGCACGAGUGAUGGCCGAUGUUAUUGGGCCUAAAGCGUCCGUAGCCUGCCAAUCAGGUUCGUCGGGAAAUCCACGCGCUCAACGUGUGGGCGUCCGGCGAAUACCGAUUGGCUUGGGACCGGAGGACCCGAGGGGUACGUCCGGGGUAGGAGUGAAAUCCUGUAAUCCCGGACGGACCACCGGUGGCGAAAGCGCCUCGGGAGGACGGAUCCGACGGUGAGGGACGAAAGCUGGGGUCACGAACCGGAUUAGAAACCCUAGUAGUCC